GGGGGGGGGGGGGGGCGGGGGGGGGGGGGGCGGGGCGAGCGGGGGGGCGCUGCGUGGGGUGGGUGCUCGAGUGGCGAGCGGGUGAGUAACACGUGAGUCACCUGCCCUUGACGUUGGGAUAACUUCCGGAACCUGGGGCUAAUCCCGGCUAGGAGCUCCUGCUGCAUGGUGGGGGUUGGAAAGUUUCGGCGGUUGGGGAUGGACUCGCGGCUGAUCAGCUUGUUGGUGGGGUAGUGGCUUACCAAGGCGUUGACGGGUAGCCGGCCUGAGAGGGUGACCGGCCACAUUGGGACUGAGAUACGGCCCAGACUCCUACGGGAGGCAGCAGUGGGGAAUAUUGCACAAUGGGCGGAAGCCUGAUGCAGCAACGCCGCGUGCGGGAUGACGGCCUUCGGGUUGUAAACCGCUUUCGCCUGUGACGAAGCGUGAGUGACGGUAAUGGGUAAAGAAGCACCGGCUAACUACGUG
rnacentral:rRNA from 1 species